UUANCGGCGUGCCUAAUACAUGCAAGUCGAGCGAACAGAGAAGGAGCUUGCUCCUUUGACGUUAGCGGCGGACGGGUGAGUAACACGUGGGCAACCUACCUUAUAGUUUGGGAUAACUCCGGGAAACCGGGGCUAAUACCGAAUAAUCUAUUUUACUUCAUGGUGAAAUACUGAAAGACGGUUUCGGCUGUCGCUAUAAGAUGGGCCCGCGGCGCAUUAGCUAGUUGGUGAGGUAACGACUCACCAAGGCGACGAUGCGUAGCCGACCUGAGAGGGUGAUACGGCCACACUGGGACUGAGACACGGCCCAGACUCCUACGGGAGGCAGCAGUAGGGAAUCUUCCACAAUGGGCGAAAGCCUAGAUGGAGCAACGCCGCGUGAGUAGAAGAAGGUUUUCGGAUCGUAAAACUCUGUUGUAAGGGAAGAACAAGUACAGUAGUAACUGGCUGUACCUUGACGGUACCUUAUUAGAAAGCCACGGCUAACUACGUGCCAGCAGCCGCGGUUANUACGUAGGUAGGGNCCAAAGCCGUUUGGUCCCGGGCAACUUUAUUUGGGGGCCGUUUAAAAGGCGG
rnacentral:rRNA from 1 species